UCCGGUGUGGUGUAGUUGGCUAGCAUGAGUAGGUACUAGGUUUAAGGGUGGCCUUCUGCCUACAGGACCCAAGUUCGAUCCUUGGCGCCGGAC